CAUGACAUACUAUAGUUUUUGGUUUUUUUAGCUAAACGUCUGAUAUGAGAAGAAGCUUUUUUGUGAAUCUGGAAUGAAAUGUUUUUAUUAAACAGAAUUUUUUUUUAUUUACCUGACGAGAUUUGAACCCGGGACCUCCUGCACUUCAGUCUACGAUCUUACCACUGCUGCAAUUUGUUCUUAAUCCCA